GUCCUCACUUUGGUAGCACAUAUACUAAAAUUGGAUCAAUACAGAGUUUAACAUGACCCCUGCUCAAUGUUGACAUGCAGAUUCAUAAAGAAUUCUAUAUUUUG
ensembl:snRNA U6 U6 spliceosomal RNA